UUGAAAGGGAAACGAUUGAAGUCAGUCAUACCAACGGGAAAUCAACCUUUUGAGCUUGGUCUCGUGGGUUUUGAAGAGUUUCAAAGCCUUCGGAUUCGCGGUAUUGGGAUCUCUCGGUGUACUUUUUCGUACGGUUAGUCAACAUCGGUUUUGAAUGUCAUAAAAUGACUGGAGGAAUGUAGCUUCGAUCUCGUAUUGAAGUGUUAUAGCCUUUGGUAGAUGUGAUGUUUGAGACCGAGGAUUGCAACGGAUACCCUUCAGGGCUAUUCGUCUGAUCUCUGAUACGUUGCCUUGAUGUUGAAAGCUUGCUUAUGAUGUUAGGGUAUUACGGUCAAAAGGUUAGAACGAAUUACAUUCGUUAAGGAUGUUGACGUA
rnacentral:rRNA from 1 species